rnacentral:rRNA from 1 species
AUUGAACGCUGGCGGCAGGCUUAACACAUGCAAGUCGAGCGGGGUGAUGGUGCUUGCACUAUCACUUAGCGGCGGACGGGUGAGUAAUGCUUAGGAAUCUGCCUAUUAGUGGGGGACGACAUCUCGAAAGGGAUGCUAAUACCGCAUACGUCCUACGGGAGAAAGCAGGGGAUCACUUGUGACCUUGCGCUAAUAGAUGAGCCUAAGUCGGAUUAGCUAGUUGGUGGGGUAAAGGCCUACCAAGGCGACGAUCUGUAGCGGGUCUGAGAGGAUGAGCCGCCACACUGGGACUGAGACACGGCCCAGACUCCUACGGGAGGCAGCAGUGGGGAAUAUUGGACAAUGGGGGGAACCCUGAUCCAGCCAUGCCGCGUGUGUGAAGAAGGCCUUAUGGUUGUAAAGCACUUUAAGCGAGGAGGAGGCUCUUUUGGUUAAUACCCAAGAUGAGUGGACGUUACUCGCAGAAUAAGCACCGGCUAACUCUGUGCCAGCCGCCGCAGUAA